AGAGUUUGAUCAUGGCUCAGGAUGAACGCUGGCGGCGUGCCUGAUACAUGCAAGUCGAACGGAUCGGCUAGGGUCUGAAGGUCUGGAGCGGGUAGCGCGCAAGAAAUUGAGCAAAGCCUGCAAAGGGCUAGAGGGCUUGGUGCUGGUCAGUGGCGGACGGGUGAGUAACACGUAGGUGAUCUGCCUCAAAGUGGGGAACAACCGAUCGAAAGGUCGGCUAAUUCCGCAUGUGGUCCCGUGAGGGAAGAAAGGGCUGGAAGGCCCGCUUUGAGAUGAGCCUGCGGCCGAUUAGCUAGUUGGUGAGGUAAUGGCCCACCAAGGCGACCAUCGGUAGCUGGUCUGAGAGGAUGAUCAGCCACACUGGGAUUGAGAACGGCCCAGACUCCUACGGGAGGCAGCAGUAAGGAAUAUUGCACAAUGGGGGCAACCCUGAUGCAGCAACGCCGCGUGGGUGAAGAAGGCCUUCGGGUCGUAAAACCCUUUUCUGGGGGAUGAGGAAGGACAGUACCCCAGGAAUAAGUCUCGGCUAACUACGUGCCAGCAGCCGCGGUAAGACGUAGGAGGCGAGCGUUAUCCGGAUUUAUUGGGCGUAAAGGGCAAGUAGGCGGUUGGGCAAGUUGUGCGUGACAGUUCCCGGCUUAACUGGGAGAGGUCGUACAAUACUGCUUGACUAGAGGGCAGGAGAGGGAAGCGGAACUCCUAAUGUAGCGGUGGAAUGCUCAGAUAUUAGGAAGAACACCAGUGGCGAAGCGGCUUCCUGGCCUGUACCUGACGCUGAGAGGCGAAAGCUAGGGGAGCGAACGGGCUUAGAUACCCCGGUAGUCCUAGCUGUAAACGGUGAUACUAGGUAUUGGGGCACACCCUCAGUGCCAAGCCAACGCGUUAAGUAUCCCGCCUGGGGACUACGCCGCAAGUUAAAACUCAAUGAAUUGACGG
rnacentral:rRNA from 1 species